rnacentral:rRNA from 1 species
CUGUAAGCCUGUGAAGGUGGCCUGUGAGGGUUGCUGGAGGUAUCAGAAGUGCGAAUGCUGACAUAAGUAACGAUAAAGCGGGUGAAAAGCCCGCUCGCCGGAAGACCAAGGGUUCCUGUCCAACGUUAAUCGGGGCAGGGUGAGUCGACCCCUAAGGCGAGGCCGAAAGGCGUAGUCGAUGGGAAACGGGUUAAUAUUCCCGUACUUGGUGUUACUGCGAAGGGGGGACGGAGAAGGCUAUGUUGGCCGGGCGACGGUUGUCCCGGUUUAAGCGUGUAGGUGUGUGUUCCAGGUAAAUCCGGUUCACUUUAACACUGAGGCGUGAUGACGAGGCACUACGGUGCUGAAGCAACAAAUGCCCUGCUUCCAGGAAAAGCCUCUAAGCAUCAGGUAACAUCAAAUCGUACCCCAAACCGACACAGGUGGUCAGGUAGAGAAUACCAAGGCGCUUGAGAGAACUCGGGUGAAGGAACUAGGCAAAAUGGUGCCGUAACUUCGGGAGAAGGCACGCUGACACGUAGGUGAAGUGAUUUACUCAUGGAGCUGAAGUCAGUCGAAGAUACCAGCUGGCUGCAACUGUUUAUUAAAAACACAGCACUGUGCAAACACGAAAGUGGACGUAUACGGUGUGACGCCUGCCCGGUGCCGGAAGGUUAAUUGAUGGGGUCAGCGCAAGCGAAGCUCCUGAUCGAAGCCCCGGUAAACGGCGGCCGUAACUAUAACGGUCCUAAGGUAGCGAAAUUCCUUGUCGGGUAAGUUCCGACCUGCACGAAUGGCGUAAUGAUGGCCAGGCUGUCUCCACCCGAGACUCAGUGAAAUUGAACUCGCUGUGAAGAUGCAGUGUACCCGCGGCAAGACGGAAAGACCCCGUGAACCUUUACUAUAGCUUGACACUGAACAUUGAGCCUUGAUGUGUAGGAUAGGUGGGAGGCUUUGAAGUGUGGACGCCAGUCUGCAUGGAGCCGACCUUGAAAUACCACCCUUUAAUGUUUGAUGUUCUAACGUGGACCCGUAAUCCGGGUUGCGGACAGUGUCUGGUGGGUAGUUUGACUGGGGCGGUCUCCUCCUAAAGAGUAACGGAGGAGCACGAAGGUUGGCUAAUCCUGGUCGGACAUCAGGAGGUUAGUGCAAUGGCAUAAGCCAGCUUGACUGCGAGCGUGACGGCGCGAGCAGGUGCGAAAGCAGGUCAUAGUGAUCCGGUGGUUCUGAAUGGAAGGGCCAUCGCUCAACGGAUAAAAGGUACUCCGGGGAUAACAGGCUGAUACCGCCCAAGAGUUCAUAUCGACGGCGGUGUUUGGCACCUCGAUGUCGGCUCAUCACAUCCUGGGGCUGAAGUAGGUCCCAAGGGUAUGGCUGUUCGCCAUUUAAAGUGGUACGCGAGCUGGGUUUAGAACGUCGUGAGACAGUUCGGUCCCUAUCUGCCGUGGGCGCUGGAGAACUGAGGGGGGCUGCUCCUAGUACGAGAGGACCGGAGUGGACGCAUCACUGGUGUUCGGGUUGUCAUGCCAAUGGCACUGCCCGGUAGCUAAAUGCGGAAGAGAUAAGUGCUGAAAGCAUCUAAGCACGAAACUUGCCCCGAGAUGAGUUCUCCCUGAGACUUUAGGUCUCCUGAAGGAACGUUGAAGACGACGACGUUGAUAGGCCGGGUGUGUAAGCGCAGCGAUGCGUUGAGCUAACCGGUACUAAUGAACCGUGAGGCUUAACCUUACA